rnacentral:rRNA from 1 species
UACGAGGGGGGGCAAGCGUUGUUCGGAAUUACUGGGCGUAAAGGGCUCGUAGGCGGCUCAGUAAGUCGGGUGUGAAAACUCCAGGCUCAACCUGGAGACGCCACCUGAUACUGCUGUGGCUAGAGUCCGGUAGGGGAGCAUGGAAUUCCUGGUGUAGCGGUGAAAUGCGCAGAUAUCAGGAGGAACACCGAUGGCGAAGGCAGCUCGCUGGGACGGUACUGACGCUGAGGCACGAAAGCGUGGGGAGCAACA